CUACAGAGGGUGCGAGCGUUAAUCGGAAUUACUGGGCGUAAAGCGCGCGUAGGCGGCUACUUAAGUCAGAUGUGAAAUCCCCGGGCUCAACCUGGGAACUGCAUCUGAUACUGGGUAGCUAGAGUUUAGGAGGGGGAAGUAGAAUUUCAGGUGUAGCGGUGAAAUGCAUAGAGAUCUGAAGGAAUACCAGUGGCGAAGGCGGCUUCCUGGCCUAAAACUGACGCUGAGGUGCGAAAGCGUGGGUAGCAAACGGAAUUAGAAACCCCGGUAGUCC
rnacentral:rRNA from 1 species